CCUGGAGACCCCAGCAGAAGAAGACAAAUAUGAAAUCCAUUAUUCAUCAUUUUCUCUGGGAAAUACAAGUCCAGGUGCAGUGAGGAAACAGAACAAUUACAGACCUGACUCUACAAAUGAGUGUCUUAAACAACAAUCAGAUACAGUGGUCUAUUCAAGCCUCAAUGUGACAUGAGACCUACAGUGUUCCCCACCCGGAUAAA